AUUGAACGCUGGCGGCAGGCCUAACACAUGCAAGUCGAGCGGGGUUUUCGGACCUAGCGGCGGACGGGUGAGUAAUGCGUAGGAAGCUACCCGAUAGAGGGGGAUACCAGUUGGAAACGACUGUUAAUACCGCAUAAUGUCUACGGACCAAAGUGUGGGACCUUCGGGCCACAUGCUAUCGGAUGCGCCUACGGGGGAUUAGCUUGUUGGUGAGGUAAUGACUCACCAAGGGGAUGAUCCCUAGCUGGUUUGAGAGGAUGAUCAGCCACACUGGAACUGAGAAACGGUCCAGACUCCGACGGGAGACAGCAGUGGGGAAUAUUGGACAAUGGGCGGAAGCAUGAUCCAACCAUGCCGAGAGUGGGAAGAAGACCUUCGGGUUGUAAAACACUUGCAGUAGGGAGGAAGCGUUGUGUGUUAAUAGUACACAGCGUUGACGUUACCUACAGAAGAAGCACCGGCUAACUCUGUGCCAGCCGCCGCAGUAAGAC
rnacentral:rRNA from 1 species